UCCAUUCCAGGUUCACUUGAUGAACCCAGGGGCUGCAGAAGAGAGUGGGAAGAAGCAGAAGAGCAGCAAGAAACCCUCCCAGGCAUUGAGAAGAUCCCUCUGGACCCCUCCCUUCUCCAGGCUGAGCAGUCCCAGCACUCCCAGCUUUUCCCAGAUGUUCCAGUCACUCAUGAUCCUUCUGGAAGGGGCCAACUCCCAAAAAUCAGAAGCCUGUUGAGCACUUUGAGCCUCCUCUGCUGGAAACACUUAAUGAGUAACUGAUUAAACCUGCUUUACACUGCA